GUCUGUAUGAAGUUGCAUGGAGUCUAACCUGCCCGUUGAAAAAAUUUGAAAGGCCGCGGUAUAUUAACUGUGCAAAGGUAGCAUAAUCAUUAGUUUUUUAAUUGAAGGCUUGUAUGAAGGGUUGGACAAAGAAAAAUCUGUCUUCUAUUUUUAUUUUUGAAUUUUACUUUUAAGUGAAAAGGCUUAAUUUAUUUAAAGGGACGAUAAGACCCUAUAAAUCUUUAUAUUAAUUUAUUUUUAAAUAAAUAGUUUUGUAUAAAUAUAAUUUUAUAAAAUAAAAAAUAUUUUGUUGGGGCGAUGAGAAUAUAAAUAUAACUGUUUUAAAAUAUAAACAAAGUUAUUUGUUAAAAUUUAAAGAUCCUUUAUAAAGAUUAUAAGUUUAAGUUACUUUAGGGAUAACAGCGUUAUUUUUUUUGAGAGUUCUUAUCGAAAAGAAAGUUUGCGACCUCGAUGUUGAAUUAAAAUAUCUUUAUGGUGUAGCUGCUAUAAUAAGAAAGUCUGUUCGACUUUUAAAUUUUU
rnacentral:rRNA from 1 species